GACGAACGCUGGCGGCGUGCUUAACACAUGCAAGUCGAACGGUAAGGCCCUUCGGGGUACACGAGUGGCGAACGGGUGAGUAACACGUGGGUGAUCUGCCCUGCACUUCGGGAUAAGCCUGGGAAACUGGGUCUAAUACCGGAUAGGACCCUGGGAUGCAUGUCCUGGGGUGGAAAGCUUUUGCGGUGUGGGAUGAGCCCGCGGCCUAUCAGCUUGUUGGUGGGGUGAUGGCCUACCAAGGCGACGACGGGUAGCCGGCCUGAGAGGGUGACCGGCGACACUGGGACUGAGAUACGGCCCAGACUCCUACGGGAGGCAGCAGUGGGGAAUCUUGCGCAAUGGGCGAAAGCCUGACGCAGCAACGCCGCGUGGGGGAUGACGGCCUUCGGGUUGUAAACCUCUUUCGACCGGGACGAAGGAUUCGUUUGACGGUACCGGUAGAAGAAGCACCGGCUAACUACGUGCCAGCCGCCGCCGUAA
rnacentral:rRNA from 1 species